GAUGAACGCUGGCGGCGUGCCUAAUACAUGCAAGUCGAGCGAACGGACGAGAAGCUUGCUUCUCUGAUGUUAGCGGAGGACGGGUGAGUAACACGUGGAUAACCUACCUAUCAGACUGGGAUAACUUCGGGAAACCGGAGCUAAUACCGGAUAAUAUUUUGAACCGCAUGGUUCAAAAGUGAAAGACGGUCUUGCUGUCACUUAUAGAUGGAUCCGCGCUGCAUUAGCUAGUUGGUAAGGUAAAGGCUUACCACGGCAACGAUGCAUAGCCGACCUGAGAGAGUGAUCGGCCGCACUGGAACUGAGACACGGCCCAUACGCCUACGGGAGGCAGCAGUAGGGAAUCUUCCGCAAUGGGCGAAAGCCUGACGGAGCAACGCCGCGUGAGUGAUGAAGGUCUUCGGAUCGUAAAACUCGGUUAUUAGGUAAGAACAUAUGUGUAAGUAACUGUGCACAGCGUGACGGUACCUAAUCAGAAAGCCACGGCUAACUACGUG
rnacentral:rRNA from 1 species